rnacentral:rRNA from 1 species
AGCAGCCGCGGUAAUUCCAGCUCCAAUAGCGUAUAUUAAAGUUGUUGCAGUUAAAAAGCUCGUAGUUGAAUUUCGGGGUCAGUAGGUUGGUCGUGCCACUGGUAUGUAUUGGUCUCACUGAUUCCUCCUUCCUGAUGAACCGUAAUGCCAUUAAUUUGGUGUUGCAGGGAAACUGGACUGUUACUUUGAAAAAUUAGAGUGUUUAAAGCAGGCUCGCGCUUGAAUACAUUAGCAUGGAAUAAUGAAAUAGGACGUUCGAUCCUAUUUUGUUGGUUUCUAGGAUUGACGUAAUGAUUAAUAGGGAUAGUUGGGGGCAUUAGUAUUCAAUUGUCAGAGGUGAAAUUCUUGGAUUUAUUGAAGACUAACUACUGCGAAAGCAUUUGCCAAGGAUGUUUUCAUUAAUCAAGAACGAAAGUUAGGGGAUCGAAGACGAUCAGAUACCGUCGUAGU